GCUGGUGUGGCUCAGUGGAUAGAGCGUCAGCUUCGGACUGAAGGGUCCCGGGUUCGAUUCCGGUCAAGGGCA
rnacentral:tRNA from 1 species